rnacentral:rRNA from 1 species
AACGAACGCUGGCGGCAUGCCUUACACAUGCAAGUCGAACGCGAAAGUGUCUUCGGACAUUAGUAGAGUGGCAAACGGGUGAGUAACGCGUGGGAAACUACCUUAUAGUACGGAAUAGCCUUGGGAAACUGGGAUUAAUACCGUAUAUUCCCUCAGGGGGAAAGAUUUAUCGCUAUAAGAUGUGCCCGCGUCAGAUUAGCUAGUUGGUGGGGUAAUAGCCUACCAAGGCAACGAUCUGUAGCUGGUCUGAGAGGACGAUCAGCCAUACUGGGACUGAGACACGGCCCAGACUCCUACGGGAGGCAGCAGUGGGGAAUAUUGGACAAUGGACGCAAGUCUGAUCCAGCAAUGCCGCGUGAAUGAUGAAGGCCUUAGGGUUGUAAAGUUCUUUAAGUGGGGAAGAUAAUGACGGUACCCACAGAAUAAGCACCGGCUAACUUCGUGCCAGCCGCCGCCGUAA